rnacentral:rRNA from 1 species
UACGGAGGGGGCUAGCGUUGUUCGGAAUUACUGGGCGUAAAGCGCGCGUAGGCGGCUUUGUAAGUUAGAGGUGAAAGCCCGGAGCUCAACUCCGGAAUUGCCUUUAAGACUGCAUCGCUAGAAUCAUGGAGAGGUUAGUGGAAUUCCGAGUGUAGAGGUGAAAUUCGUAGAUAUUCGGAAGAACACCAGUGGCGAAGGCGACUAACUGGACAUGUAUUGACGCUGAGGUGCGAAAGCGUGGGGAGCAACAGG